AAGACCAAGCCAAGAAGCCCCCUGUGUUCUUCCYUCCGUCUGCUGCCGCACCCGCCACAGCACCAGAAAGAUUCCUAGUCCUCCACUCCUCCUCCACUUGAGAGUGCCCCACGCAGCCCACUGCUGGGCAGAGGCCGCGCGCGGCGCCAGCGCCACCACCCCUUUCUCUUCUCCCCUCUCCCGUCACAUCCUCCACCCAAUGUGGCAUAUAAAUCCCAGAUCCAGAUCUCCCACCUCCCUCUUGUUUGUAUAGCCAGGCAGCCAGCCUCACCAUGUGAUCUCUCGCAGGUGUUUCUUGUGUUGUUCCAUCCUUAUUUUGCAUUGAUGUCAAGGUUUUUUUUUUUUUGUCAGACCCAUCUACGGGUGGUGUCUGGGCGCAGUGGUUUAUCGAUCUCUUCCUUGCCUUGUGCUGGUCCGGCCGGGAGUGGUGGUUCAAGCGUUUUAUUGUUGCAGCAGCUCGCAAACAACGCGGGAAUCGGUCGAUAAACCUCUGCAUCCAGCUCUCACUGCGGUUAAGGGCAUGAGCUAGGCAGCAGUGACUGACUGACUGCUGCUUCUUCUUUGCGUUCUGGGUUCCUGCUCCUUCUGAGUUUAUUAUGUCUAGUGUCUCCAAGUUAUGCUUGAUAUUACUCUGCGCGUGAUUUGACCAUCGAAA
rnacentral:precursor_RNA from 1 species